ACACAGAGUACAAAGAGUACACAAGGUACUGAGAGUAAUACUGCAACCACAGAGUACAAAGAGUACACAAGGUACUGAGAGUAAUACUGCUAACACAGAGUACAAAGAGUACACAAGGUACUGAGAGUAAUACUGCAAACACAGAGUACAAAGAGUACACAAGGUACUGUGAGUAAUACUGCAAACACAGAGUACAAAGAGUACACAAGGUACUGAGAGUAAUACUGCAAACACAGAGUACAAAGAGUACACAAGGUACUGAGAGUAAUACUACAAACACAGAGUACAAAGAGUACACAAGGUACUGAGAGUAAUACUGCAACCAAAGAGUACACAAGGUACUGAGAGUAAUACUGCAAACACAGAGUACAAAGAGUACACAAGGUACUGAGAGUAAUACUGCAAACACAGAGUACAAAGAGUACACAAGGUACUGAGAAUAAUACUGCAAACACAGAGUACAAAGAGUACACAAGGUACUGAGAGUAAUACUGCAAACACAGAGUACAAAGAGUACACAAGGUACUGAGAGUAAUACUGCAAACACAGAGUACAAAGAGUACACAAGGUACUGAGAGUAAUACUGCAAACACAGAGUACAAAGAGUACACAAGGUACUGAGAGUAAUACUGCAAACACAGAGUACAAAGAGUACACAAGGUACUGUGAGUAAUACUGCAAACACAGAGUACAAAGAGUACACAAGGUACUGAGAGUAAUACUGCAAACACAGAGUACAAAGAGUACACAAGGUACUGAGAGUAAUACUGCUAACACAGAGUACAAAGAGUACACAAGGUACUGAGAGUAAUACUUUAAACACAGAGUACAAAGAGUACACAAGGUACUGCGAGUAAUACUGCAAACACAGAGUACAAAGAGUACACAAGGUACUGAGAGUAAUACUGCAAACACAGAGUACAAAGAGUACACAAGGUACUGUGAGUAAUACUGCAAACACAGAGUACAAAGAGUACACAAGGUACUGAGAGUAAUACUGCAAACACAGAGUACAAAGAGUACACAAGGUACUGAGAGUAAUACUGCAAACACAGAGUACAAAGAGUACACAAGGUACUGAGAGUAAUACUGCAAACACAGAGUACAAAGAGUACACAAGGUACUGAGAGUAAUACUGCAAACACAGAGUACAAAGAGUACACAAGGUACUGAGAGUAAUACUGCAAACACAGAGUACAAAGAGUACACAAGGUACUGUGAGUAAUACUGCAAACACAGAGUACAAAGAGUACACAAGGUACUGCGAGUAAUACUGCAAACACAGAGUACAAAGAGUACACAAGGUACUGAGAGUAAUACUGCUAACACAGAGUACAAAGAGUACACAAGGUACUGAGAGUAAUACUUUAAACACAGAGUACAAAGAGUACACAAGGUACUGCGAGUAAUACUGCAAACACAGAGUACAAAGAGUACACAAGGUACUGAGAGUAAUACUGCAAACACAGAGUACAAAGAGUACACAAGGUACUGUGAGUAAUACUGCAAACACAGAGUACAAAGAG